GCAGGCUGUGGAGCAAGCGCAGGGACUGCAACAUGUGUCCUCACACUCAGGGCUGUGCCUACGGGUAUUACUGAUCUUCUGGUACAUAAAGAAUAAUGAAGUUAUCAAAAUGCGGGAAGUAGUAGAAGAUAAUUGCUGUCAGAAUCCGAGAAAGGCCAGUUUGGCCUGAACUUAGGCCUGGAUUAAGAAAUAAAUCACAAUAGACAUGACCAUUGUCUAAUCCUUCUUGCUGCCAUGGGGUAUGGCUGGGUCGUGCCACUUGGAUUCUAUUUUAUUAGUUAAUGAACAGCCUCAGACAUUAGCACCACUUGCAGUUCGGAUUAGCACUUUGUUAUGAUCUUUUCCCACUUAUUAAUCAAUAUCCCUAUCAAGUCAACUAUAAUUUUGAAUUUAUUCAUGCAUAUGCAUUCAUUCUACAACAUUCAAAAAGUACUAUAGUAGACUGAAAUUGUAAUGUUAAUUCUUCAUUAUUUAUACUAUAUUUAUACAUCCUUAUUCUUUUCAACAAUUCAUGGUGACAGGAACAUACUUUCAUAUCCCUCAUCUUUGGAUUUGGCUCUGUGUCUUGGUGUGGACAAUGGAAUAUAGUGCAAAUGACCUAAGCAGAACUUUGAAUUGUGUUUGUUCUUCUGUCAUCGCCAUGAUAAGAACAGCCCCUUUUCCACUAUCCAAUGGUCCUCAACAUAUGGUACACAGUACAGAAAUGCUCCAGCCAACUCAAAGACCUGCAGAUUAAGCAGGGUCCUCUGGAUGAUCUACACAUGUAUGAAUGGAAAAUAUUGUUGUUAUAACCAUUGAGCUUUAUGAUACAGACAGAAUUAUUGUCACAAUAUUGUCACAAAACCAAAUAGAAUUUAAUUCCUCUAGGUUCACAAUAUUAACAUUGACAUUUAAAAAUUAUUAAAUGUCAUUAAAAUAUAUGUAUAAAUAAACAAAUCACUGUAAAAUAAAGUUUGCAAAGAGACAAGCAACAGAGU